CACGGCCACAGGCAGGCUUAGAGAAGUAGAGACAAAGGAGGAAAUGGAAGAGCACAAAGGCAGCAAGGAAUGAAAGGAUAACCCCUCUCCACCACUGAAACUCAUAAACUGCACCCCUUCUGACACCCACUUCCAUAUGCAAAAUUCAAGUCCGUUUCAAGGUGGCUGAUCCCCUCCAGAGAAGGGCAGUAAAGCUGAGUCCCAGAAGGAUAAGGUUCUGCAGUCUGUGACCCAUUUUCUCUCAUGACUUUACGGCUGCUGGGAGCAAGAAACGUCCUGGCAGCCCUGUUCGGUGGCUAACAGAGAGGCCCACCCACGAGGCUGGGCUGGUGUGCCUGGCUUCUGCUGCCAAGACAUUUCUGCUCUGGCUACAAACACCUUGCGAGAUUGAAGGUGCCUUCUAAUUCUCUGCAAACCCACAGUAUGAUCACCAGCCAGGUUUUGGCGCUUGUGGAGCUCAGAACUGCGUGCAGUGAGAAAAGACCAGAACAUCCUCCUCCUGGAAAGGUGAAAGCCCUGACCCACAGAUCACCUAAUUCAAUUUCCAGGCAGCCUUCUGACAGGGACAGCUUCCUGGGCCUUCAGCCUGUGUGGCUGCGCAGGGCCUUGCGCUCAGAAGGGCCCUGGGCUUGACUGAACGCUCUGCUGUCACCAUCUUGAAUUCUUAAUCAUCUGAAACAAAGGCACCAUGUAUCAUUUUGCAGUGGGCCCUGCAAGUUGUGGCAGCAGGUCCUGCCCCUCACCCCCACUUCCCACUGUGUUCUGAUGAAGAAGGAAGCACAGGCCA